rnacentral:rRNA from 1 species
UACGUAGGGUCCGAGCGUUGUCCGGAAUUACUGGGCGUAAAGAGCUCGUAGGUGGUUUGUCGCGUUGUUCGUGAAAACUCACAGCUUAACUGUGGGCGUGCGGGCGAUACGGGCAGACUUGAGUACUGCAGGGGAGACUGGAAUUCCUGGUGUAGCGGUGGAAUGCGCAGAUAUCAGGAGGAACACCAAUGGCGAAGGCAGGUCUCUGGGCCACAACUGACGCUGAGGAGCGAAAGCAUGGGGAGCGAACAGG